rnacentral:rRNA from 1 species
UAGGGAAUCUUCCGCAAUGGGCGAAAGCCUGACGGAGCAACGCCGCGUGAGUGAUGAAGGUCUUCGGAUCGUAAAACUCUGUUAUUAGGGAAGAACAAAUGUGUAAGUAACUAUGCACGUCUUGACGGUACCUAAUCAGAAAGCCACGGCUAACUACGUGCCAGCAGCCGCGGUAAUACGUAGGUGGCAAGCGUUAUCCGGAAUUAUUGGGCGUAAAGCGCGCGUAGGCGGUUUUUUAAGUCUGAUGUGAAAGCCCACGGCUCAACCGUGGAGGGUCAUUGGAAACUGGAAAACUUGAGUGCAGAAGAGGAAAGUGGAAUUCCAUGUGUAGCGGUGAAAUGCGCAGAGAUAUGGAGGAACACCAGUGGCGAAGGCGACUUUCUGAUCUGUAACUGACGCUGAUGUGCGAAAGCGUGGGGAUCAAACAGG